GGAGCUGUGGCGCAACGGUAGCGCGUCAGAUUCCAGUCCUGAAGGUUAUCCGUUCAAAUCGGGUCAGCUUCA
rnacentral:tRNA from 2 species